AGGGAGUCAGCCUGUUCGAUGACACAUCUGCAGGGGGUGACUUAACUGAACCAACUCAAUGUUUCUAUACCCAGUGGCAUCUCUUUUGCACAUCUUCAUUUUGGAGCCUGGGAUGACUGCCUAGGCUGCUUAUGCUAGACCUGUUAAUGCCAGUGUGAAAUUUCCAACUAAAUACUUAAUAAAAUAAUUACAAAAAGAAAAAAAAAGACACAUUGCACUCUCCAGCCAGAAUAAUGUGUGUGAAUGACACACACACUUGCUGCCAGAAGCUGUGAGUCCCUUGGGACCUGCCCAUUGCCAAGGACUUGUUCAAUGGAGACAGCUUGCCUGGUAUUUUUUUUUUUCUCUAACCCCAUGUUAUUUAGUUCAAGUGGGAAGUUACCAACAAUUGCAUACACAGACACGCACGCGCACACACACACACGCACACAUUCUCAACACAUGGCCCUCAAAAAAGUGAGGGAAUCUUAAUUAUUUAGCAAUGUGGACAGUUCUCUUCCCAGAGAGCUCUGCAUUGAGAUUCUCAGACUGAAUAUCUAGAUGGAUAUACACCAAGGGAGAGACCCGCACAGGGCACAGUCCCAUUCUGGGCACAGAGAUCUGUGUCUGUGCAGAAAUUCACCAAAUAGGGGGUUGGAGCAGCAAGCAUACAGUACUGGAGGUGGAGGGAACAAGCCACAGGGACGUCCCUGUCACCUUGAGGGGCAGAGCUCUGAGGCUCCAACCCAGAGGAAACUUCCCCUUCUGUUGCUUUCUCUACUGGUGCUGAGGAAGGAGGCCAGAUUGGUACCUGUUGUGGGAAGUUCUGUCUGCAGAGAAACUUGAAUACACCCCCGACUCUUCCCAGAGCAGAAUUUGUACGGACUGUCUGGGUGUGGAGCCCAGGCAGGGCUCACUCCUCAGGCCGAAGUCGCUGAGAUGAAUGGGCAGCCCAGGCUCAGCCCCAGGCCCUGCUGCAGGCUUGUGGGAAUUGGUGUCUCACCAGGGUGUGCGUGGCUCAAGGUUCUCACAUCCCCCAAAAAGAUCUGGUGACUUCUAGGCUUCCUGCCUAGAAACUGAACUGAGGGCACCCAGUUUUAGAAAGAUUCAAACAUACACCAGAAGGAUCAUAGCCCAAACAUCAGGACACUGGGGUGAGAGAGGGCUGCUGGGAGUCAUUUUUAGGCCAGGUCUCUCUGAGCAGCUGGCUGCACAACAGAAAUCAAAACAAGGAACAGCUCCCGAGGGCCUGCUUCUGCUCCAGGGACUGGGGCCCAGAGGUCAAGGGCCCCAUGCCUGAAUCCCUUUCUUCUGGGUGGAUCUGGCACGGACCCCUAUCAUCUUCCCAAGGAAGGGGGAGAGGAGAACACUACAAGAUCAAACUCCACCAACCCACCCACCUGUUCCACAGCUAGGAUUCCUUCAGCACCCCUCUCCCUGCCUCUUGCUCUCUGAGUGCCACUGGUAUUCCCUCCAUUGUCCCCAACGAGCCCUGGCAUCCAUCUUGGUAAUAUUGCACUUUUCCUGUCUCUCAGAUUGUUUCCAUUUUUGAUUGAGAAUGCAAGGUAUUUGGAGGGGUAGGGGAAGUGAGUAACCUUAAAGAAAUAAUAUAUUAGUUAAAUACAGUAACAGGAAAAAUAGGGGUUAUUUUAUCUUUUUCCCCUUAUUAAAAACAAAAACU
rnacentral:lncRNA from 1 species